rnacentral:tRNA from 1 species
AGCAGUUAAGCGUUUGGUUGCUAACCAAAAUGUCGGCAGUUCGAAUCCACCAGCUGCUU